rnacentral:rRNA from 1 species
CAGUCGACGGAAUGAGAGAGCUUGCUCUUUCAUUUAGUGGCGCACGGGUGAGUAACGCGUAGAUAAUCUGCCUUGGAAUCUGGGAUAACAUCUCGAAAGGGGUGCUAAUACCUGAUAAGCCCACGGGGACGUGAGUCUUUGCGGGAAAAGGGGGCCUCUGAAUAUGCUCCUGUUUCAAGAUGAGUCUGCGUACCAUUAGCUAGUUGGUAGGGUAAUGGCCUACCAAGGCUACGAUGGUUAGCUGGUCUGAGAGGAUGAUCAGCCACACUGGAACUGAGACACGGUCCAGACUCCUACGGGAGGCAGCAGUGGGGAAUUUUGCGCAAUGGGGGAAACCCUGACGCAGCAACGCCGCGUGAGUGAUGAAGGCUUUCGGGUCGUAAAGCUCUGUCAAGAGAGACGAAGUGUAGUGAGGUUAAUACCCCUAUUACUUGACGGUACCUCUGAAGGAAGCACCGGCUAACUCCGUGCCAGCAGCCGCGGUAAUACGGAGGGUGCAAGCGUUGUUCGGAUUUAUUGGGCGUAAAGCGCGUGUAGGCGGUUUGUUAAGUCUGAUGUGAAAGCCCCGGGCUCAACCUGGGAAGUGCGUUGGAAACUGGUAGACUUGAAUACGGGAGAGGGUAGUGGAAUUCCUGGUGUAGGAGUGAAAUCCGUAGAUAUCAGGAGGAACACCGGUGGCGAAGGCGGCUACCUGGACCGAUAUUGACGCUGAGACGCGAAAGCGUGGGGAGCAAA